UACGUAGGGGGCAAGCGUUGUCCGGAAUCAUUGGGCGUAAAGAGCGUGUAGGCGGUUCGGUAAGUCGGCUGUGAAGGUCCAGGGCUCAACCCUGGGAUGCCGGUCGAUACUGCCGGACUAGAGUUCGGAAGAGGCGAGUGGAAUUCCUGGUGUAGCGGUGGAAUGCGCAGAUAUCAGGAGGAACACCAAUAGCGAAGGCAGCUCGCUGGGACGUUACUGACACUGAGGCGCGAAAGCGUGGGGAGCGAACAGG
rnacentral:rRNA from 1 species